GGCCCCCCCCUGACCUCUCCCCCCGCAGGAGGUGGACAUCUACACGGUGAAGGUGGAGGAGCUGACGUUCACGGCGCCGUUCUGCCUGCAGGUGAAGCGCAAUGAUUACGUCCACGCGCUCGUCGCCUACUUCAACAUCGAGUUCACGCGCUGCCAUAAGCGCACCGGCUUCUCCACCAGUGAGGGCGGGGCCUGCGAGAGGGGGCGUGGCCGGGGGGCGUGGUUAGCCAAUGGGGGCAGGGCUAGCAGCAAGGCUCCGCCUUCACCCCACCUUCACUGUGCCAUAUAUGGAGCGUGGGGGUGGGGCUAAGGGAAGUGGGCGGGGCCUGGGGAUCUGGUUAGCCAAUGGGGGCAGGGCUAGCAGCAAGGCUUCGCCUUCAUCCCACUCAACUGUGCCGUAUAUGGAGCAUGUGGGUGGAGCUGAGGGGGCGUGGUUAGCCAAUGGGGGCGGGGCUAGAAGCAAGUCUCCACCUUCAUUUCCCCCACUGUGCCAUAUAUGGAACAUGGGGGUGGGGUUAAGGGAAGUGGACAAGGCCUGGGGGCGUGGUUGGCCAAUGGGGGCGGGGCUAGCAGCCAGGUUCCACGUCCUGAGCUGUCCCCAUAUCCCCAGGGCUGUCCCCAUAUCCUUUUGGUUGGGUCCCCAGGGCUGUCCCCAUGUCCCCUCAGUGUCCCCAAGGCUGUCCCCAUGUCCUUUGGCUGUCCCCUGGAUGUCCCCGUGUCCCCUCAGUGUCCCCAGGGCUCUCCCCAUAUCCCCAGGCUGUUCCCAUGUCCCCUUGGUGGUGUCCCCAGGGCUGUCCCCAUGUCAUAGGGCUGACCCCAUGUCCCCUGAGUGUCCCCACGUCCCCAGGGCUGUCAGCCAUGUCAUAGGGCUGUCAGCCAUGUCCUUUGGCUGUCCCCAUAUUCUCUUGGUGUCCCCAUGUCCCCAUAUCCCCAGGCUCUCCCCAUGUCCCCUUGGUGUCCCCUGGCUGUCCCCAUAUCCUCUGGCUGUCCCCAUGUCCCCAGGGCUGUCCCUAUGUCUCCUGGCUUUCCCCAUGCUCCCUUCCCCCUUGGUGUCCCCUUGGUGUCCCCUGCCUGUCCCCGUGUCCCCAUAUCCCCUGGCUGUCCUCAUGUCCCCUUGGUGUCCCCUGGCUGUCCCCAUACCCCGUGGCUGUCCCCAUACCCCCUUAGUGUCCCCUGCCUGUCCCCAUGUCCCCACAUCCCCUGGCUGUCCCCAUGUCCCCUUGAU
rnacentral:lncRNA from 1 species